UAGAAUGACUCUCGGCAACGGAUAUCUAGGCUCUUGCAUCGAUGAAGAACGUAGCGAAAUGCGAUACUUGGUGUGAAUUGCAGAAUCCCGUGAACCAUCGAGUCUUUGAACGCAAGUUGCGCCUGAAGCCAUUAGGUUGAGGGCACGUCUGCCUGGGUGUCACAGA
rnacentral:rRNA from 5 species